rnacentral:rRNA from 1 species
UACGUAGGGUGCGAGCGUUAAUCGGAAUUACUGGGCGUAAAGCGUGCGCAGGCGGUGAUGUAAGACAGAUGUGAAAUUCCCGGGCUUAACCUGGGAGCUGCAUUUGUGACUGCAUCGCUGGAGUGCGGCAGAGGGGGAUGGAAUUCCGCGUGUAGCAGUGAAAUGCGUAGAUAUGCGGAGGAACACCGAUGGCGAAGGCAAUCCCCUGGGCCUGCACUGACGCUCAUGCACGAAAGCGUGGGGAGCAAACAGG